GCGCCCGUAGCUCAAUUGGAUAGAGCGCCAGACUACGGAUCUGGAGGCUAGGGGUUCAAAUCCUCUCGGGCGCACCA
rnacentral:tRNA from 1 species